rnacentral:rRNA from 1 species
UGAAGGAUUUCGGUCUGUAAAGCUCUGUUGUUUAUGACGAACGUGCAGUGUGUGAACAAUGCAUUGCAAUGACGGUAGUAAACGAGGAAGCCACGGCUAACUACGUGCC